rnacentral:tRNA from 1 species
GACACUAUGGCCGAGUGGUUAAGGCGACAGAUUCGAAUCCGUUCGACUAUCUGUUUCCCUCUGGGAGCGCAGGUUCAAAUCCUGCUGGUGUCG